rnacentral:SRP_RNA from 1 species
GACCUAGGAAGCUGUACCACUUCCUGUCAGCCUUGACACAUUUCCUGUGUCCUUAUGUUUACAAGAGGGAGACAAGCACCUCCACCCAGCUAAGCCUGCAUCUAGAAAUAUGUCUCUGGAUGCAGGCUUAGCUGGGUGGAGGUGCUUGUCUCCCCCUUGUAAACAUAAGGACACAGGAAAUGUGUCAAGGCCG